GACGAACGCUGGCGGCGUGCUUAACACAUGCAAGUCGAACGGAAAGGCCCUGCUUUUGUGGGGUGCUCGAGUGGCGAACGGGUGAGUAACACGUGAGUAACCUGCCCUUGACUUUGGGAUAACUUCAGGAAACUGGGGCUAAUACCGGAUAGGAGCUCCUGCUGCAUGGUGGGGGUUGGAAAGUUUCGGCGGUUGGGGAUGGACUCGCGGCUUAUCAGCUUGUUGGUGGGGUAGUGGCUUACCAAGGCUUUGACGGGUAGCCGGCCUGAGAGGGUGACCGGCCACAUUGGGACUGAGAUAGGGCCCAGACUCCUACGGGAGGCAGCAGGGGGGAAUAUUGCACAAUGGGCGGAAGCCUGAUGCAGCAACGCCGCGUGCGGGAUAACGGCCUUCGGGUUGUAAACCGCUUUCGCCUGUGACGAAGCGUGAGUGACGGUAAUGGGUAAAGAAGCACCGGCUAACUACGUG
rnacentral:rRNA from 1 species